rnacentral:rRNA from 1 species
CCUACGGGCGGCAGCAGUGGGGAAUAUUGGACAAUGGGCGAAAGCCUGAUCCAGCCAUGCCGCGUGUGUGAAGAAGGCCUUCGGGUUGUAAAGCACUUUCAGUGGGGAAGAAAGCCUUGGAGCUAAUACCCUCGAGGAAGGACAUCACCCACAGAAGAAGCACCGGCUAACUCCGUGCCAGCAGCCGCGGUAAUACGGAGGGUGCGAGCGUUAAUCGGAAUUACUGGGCGUAAAGCGCGCGUAGGCGGUCUGAUAAGCCGGUUGUGAAAGCCCCGGGCUCAACCUGGGAACGGCAUCCGAACGGGCAGGCUAGAGUGCGGGAGAGGAAGGUGGAAUUCCCGGUGUAGCGGUGAAAUGCGUAGAAAUAGGGAGGAAUACCAGUGGCGAAGGCGACCACCUGGACUAAUACUGACGCUGAGGUGCGAAAGCGUGGGGAGCAAACAGGAUUAGAUACCCUUGUAGUC